ACUUAAUGCAAAAUAGGGAAUUACAGCAGACCCAGCAGGGAUUGCAGCAUCUGCUCUACUCUGACACUCUCAUUUAGGCUACCCUUAAAUCUUCAGGUGCUCUUAUAUGUUUGACAUUUUAUUUCACAGACAGAAUUUCCUCAGUUAAGAUUUUUUUUUUAAUUUUUCCUUUUUUAUUUUUUUCUUUUAAUUUUUAAGGAAAGCUAGAGAAAUUGCAUUUUGACCACUACUGAAUUUGAAGAGACCCUGAACCAGAUAAGAAUGCCCAAACCAGAUAAGAAUGAUCUGGCUGUACCCUGGGACCUCCAAGGGCCACCCUGUUCCAGAUGUGCCCCUUGACCAGCCUCCAGCUCCCUGUUUGGACAAGGCUCUGACGGAAAGUGUGGCGUUUCCCUCCCCCCCUUUCCAUGGGAAGAAAACCAGGCGAAUAGGCUGGAAGGAAGAGAGCCACGUCAUGCUCCAGCUGAGCCCUCAGACCAGGAGAAUUUUACAGCCAUGCUGUGGGCCAAGCUGAGAAGUGGUCUGCGAAGCUGGACCUCCAGUGACGGCUUCUUGUGCCUCGCUGUGCUUGUGCGUGCCUUCAGUGGGUCUGAAUCUGAUCUGCUCGAUGCGCUUCAGUGGAAAGAGAUUUCUAAUAGUAACUGGAAGCAGAUAUAGCCAAGGAAUCAGUUUUAGUAAAUCCCACUGAACUCUGUCAUGGCAGAGAGACAGUAUAAAUGUUCCCCAUGAGUCUGCUAAUGAAAUGCCUGGCAAAGCCAAAAAGGGCAAAGAAAAAAUAGAAAUCACAGCUGCAAUAUCAGCUUGAAUAAUAGAGCUAGGAACUGGAGAGUAAUAAAAGAUGAGCAAGAGGUCA
rnacentral:lncRNA from 1 species